rnacentral:rRNA from 1 species
UACGGAGGGGACUAGCGUUGUUCGGAAUUACUGGGCGUAAAGCGCACGUAGGCGGAUUUGUAAGUCAGGGGUGAAAUCCCGGGGCUCAACCUCGGAACUGCCUUUGAUACUGCAAAUCUCGAGUCCGGAAGAAGUGAGUGGAAUUCCUAGUGUAGAGGUGAGAUUCGUAGAUAUUAGGAAGAACACCAGUGGCGAAGGCGGCUCACUGGUCCGGUACUGACGCUGAGGUGCGAAAGCGUGGGGAGCAAACAGG